rnacentral:rRNA from 1 species
AGCAGCCGCGGUAAUUCCAGCUCCAAUAGCGUAUAUUAAAGUUGUUGCAGUUAAAAAGCUCGUAGUUGAAUUUCGGGACUAAUAUGUCGGUCGUACUUUGUACGUACUAGCAUUAUUGGUUUCACCCUUCUGACGAACCACGAUGUCAUUAAUUUGGUGUCAUGGGAAAUCAGGACUGUUACUUUGAAAAAAUUAGAGUGUUUAAAGCAAGCUCGCGCUUGAAUACAUUAGCAUGGAAUAAUGAAAUAGGACGUUUGAUUCUAUUUUGUUGGUUUCUAGGAUCGACGUAAUGAUUAAUAGGGAUAGUUGGGGGCAUUAGUAUUCAAUUGUCAGAGGUGAAAUUCUUGGAUUUAUUGAAGACUAACUACUGCGAAAGCAUUUGCCAAGGAUGUUUUCAUUAAUCAAGAACGAAAGUUAGGGGAUCGAAGACGAUCAGAUACCGUCGUAGUC